GUUUCCGUGGUGUAGUGGUUAUCACAUGUGUUUCACACGCACAAGGUCCCCGGUUCGAUCCCGGGCGGAAACA